AAGCAGGGGAUCGUAAGACCUUGUGCUUUUGGAGUGGCCGAUGCCUGAUUAGCUAGUUGGUAGGGUAAUGGCCUACCAAGGCGACGAUCAGUAGUUGGUCUGAGAGGACGACCAGCCACACUGGGACUGAGACACGGCCCAGACUCCUACGGGAGGCAGCAGUGGGGAAUUUUGGACAAUGGGCGCAAGCCUGAUCCAGCAAUGCCGCGUGAGUGAAGAAGGCCUUCGGGUUGUAAAGCUCUUUCAGUCGAGAAGAAAAGGUUGUGACUAAUAAUCAUAACUCAUGACGGUAUCGACAGAAGAAGCACCGGCUAACUACGUGCCAGCAGCCGCGGUAAUACGUAGGGUGCGAGCGUUAAUCGGAAUUACUGGGCGUAAAGGGUGCGCAGGCGGCUUUGUAAGUCAGAUGUGAAAUCCCCGGGCUUAACCUGGGAAUUGCGUUUGAAACUACAAAGCUAGA
rnacentral:rRNA from 1 species